AACGAAUCCAUACGCCGGAAUAUCAGUGGAACAGGAAAUUGAUAUCAACAUUAUUUUUGCGAGGACAAACGAUGGAAGAGAUCUAAUGGAGGAACUCAAGGAGAACACAAAGCCGAAUGACAAAACAAUCAAACGUAUUACGCACCUGCUUUGCGAUUGUUUAAAAUCGUGUUACGGAGUGCGCGCAUCUACAUUUUACAAAAACCUUGUUGCUCAAUCGCUAGUCAAGUCAUACCCUAUUUUGGCUUCAACGGU